UUUCUGUCACAGGCACAACUCACACCCACGUUUGACAUUACUCUCUGAAACCAACCCGGAUCCCCCAUUUCGCUCCACUGCCGAUCUCAUCUCCAAAACAAAAAUCAAAAUCAAGGGAAGCGGAAAACCAAAUCCAGUGGAUUUCAAUUUUCCUCCUCAACUAAUUCCCAAUGCAACGACAUUAAUACUAUAGCUGCAUCACAAUUCAAACAUUUUCCAAUUUUCCCAAAUCCAAAAAAAAAAAAAAAAAAUGGAAGAAUACCCAGAAGAGCUAAGAACUCCACCAGUGACACUAAUAUCCAUAGUAGGUUGUCCGGAACUCCACACCACCAUCUCCAAACACCUCCACUCCGAACAACCCCCAAUCAACACCCUCGCUCUCCCCGACUUCACCAAAAUCUCUCUCUUCUCCAAACCCGAACCCGACAACCCCUCCCCUUCUCCCCCGAUCGGCAUAUUGAAGCGCGAUUGGCUAUCAAAGCACCGAACCAAAAUCCCUUCCGUCCUCGCCGCUCUCUUCUCCCACUCUCAGCUCUCUUCCGACCCCGCCGCGUGGCUCCAAGUCUGCUCCCAUAUUGACCAAAUCAAAACCGUGCUUCGUCCACGUAACAUCAAAUUGCUCGUCGUCGUCGUCCUCUCCGAUUCGAACGAGGAUGUGAGUGAGGAUCGGAUGCUUGCGUUGCGAAAGCGUGCGGAUUUGGAUUCGAAAUACGUCGUCGUUUUCAACCAGAAUGAGUACUCACAGUCUCUUCAAAGGUUGGGAUCUGUUCUUGCUGAAUUGGCUAAUGUGUAUUAUAGAGAUGAAGGAAGAAGGAUUAAAUUGCGUAUUGAGAAGAAAACCUUUAGUUCUCCGGGUCUUGAGUUGCACAUUCGCUAUUGCUUUAAAGUUGCUGUAUAUGCAGAAUUCCGAAGAGAUUGGGGUGAAGCUUUGAGGUUUUAUGAUGAGGCCUAUCAUAUACUCCGACAGAUGAUUGGGACAUCAAAGAGGUUGCCAGCUAUUCAACGCUUAGUGGAGAUAAAAAUUGUUGCCGAGCAAUUGAACUUCAAAAUAUCCACUUUGUUAUUGCAUGCUGGAAAGGUUGCAGAAGCGAUUACAUGGUUUCGGCAGCACAAUGCUUCGUAUAGAAGGCUUGUUGGAUCCCCAGAAGCUAUAUUUCUUCACUGGGAAUGGUUGAGUCGACAGUUUUUGGUAUUUGCGGAGCUGCUCGACAAAAGUUCAGCAGUCAUCAAAAAUAUUUCAUCUCUAGUUUUAGCUACUGCGGAAAAACCUUUGACUGAGUGGGAAUCUCGUCCAGCUUAUUACUAUCAAUUAGCUGCUCAAUACUUAGAGGAGAAGAGAUCUUCUUUCGAAAUGGCACUAUCAAUGUCAGAAACUGCUAAUGAGAUUGAUAACAGUGCUGAAUCUGUGGUACCUUCAACUUAUGUGGGUCAGUUUGCUCGAUUACUUGAGCAAGGUGACACAUUUGUUAUGCAGCCUCUCACUGAUGAAGAGUAUAUCCGUUUUGCUGUUGCGGAAGGAAAAAGGUUUCAAGAUUCCUUUGAAAUAAUUGCUCUGCUAAAGAAAUCAUACGAAUCAUACAGUAGCCUCAAAGUGCAGAGGAUGGCGUCUCUUUGUGGAUUUCACAUGGCCAGAGAACAUUAUGCUGUUGGUGAAUUCAAUAAUGCCAAACCUCUUUUUGAGGGUAUCGCAAAUCUGUACAGACAAGAGGGGUGGGUCACUUUGCUGUGGGAGGUCUUGGGUUACCUGCAAGAGUGUGCAAGGAAACAUGGUGCAGUGAAAGAUUUUAUAGAGUACUCCCUUGAAAUGGCUGCACUGCCAGCAUCAUCUGGUACAGACACCCAGUCUUUUAGAUUCAAAGACUGUGGUCCAGCUGGUCCUGCAAGUCUAGCACAGAGAGAAGUAAUUCACAAGGAGGUCCUUGUGCUUGUCAGUGGAGAAUCAGGGCUGGCAUCAGUUGAGAACAGUACUAAUCUAAAAAUAACUGGAGAUAACCCACUACACCUUGAGAUUGAUCUUGUCAGUCCCCUUAGAUCAGUACUUCUUGCUUCAGUUGCUUUUCAUGAACAGAUAAUCAAACCCAAUUCAUCCACCUUGAUUACCCUAUCACUUCUAUCACAAUUACCCCUUACUGUUGAAAUUGAUCAAUUAGAAGUGCAAUUCAAUCAAUCUGAUUGUAACUUUAUCAUAAUGAAUGCCCAAAGAUCUCCUUUAGCUUCUAUGGUUGAUGACAAACAAGGCCGCCGAGUAGAGACUUCUCCUUCUCUUACACUUUCUACUAACAGAUGGCUACGUUUGACAUAUGACAUCAAAUCUGAUCAAAGUGGAAAGCUUGAAUGCACAUCCGUUAUUGCAAAAAUGGGACCCCAUUUCACGAUCUGUUGCAGAGCCGAAAGUCCAGCAUCAAUGGAUGAUUUGCCGAUUUGGAAGUUUGAAGACCGUGUAGAGUCUUCGCCAACGAAGGAUCCUGCACUAGCGUUCACCGGUCAGAAGGCUGCCCAGGUCGAAGAACCAGACCCACAAGUGGAUCUUAAUUUAGGUGCUUCUGGCCCUGCAUUUAUUGGAGAGAGCUUCAUAGUACCUGUUACUGUGAUAUCCACAGGCCAUGCAGUCUACGCUGGCGAGUUGAAGAUUAAUCUGGUAGAUGUAAGAGGAGGUGGCUUGUUUAGUCCGAGGGAAACAGAAUCAUUGUCUAUGGACAGUCAUCAUGUUGAGCUUCUUGGCAUUUCUGGACCAGAAGGGGAGGAUGAAACUCAACUGGGCACAGAUGAAAUCAAAAAAAUUCAGAAAUCUUUUGGAUUGGUAUCUGUUCCAUUUCUGAAAUGUGGUGAAUCAUGGUCCUGCAAAUUAGAAAUCAAGUGGCAUCGACCAAAACCAGUAAUGCUUUAUGUCUCAUUGGGCUAUUCUCCACAUAGCAAUGAAUCAACUGCACAAAAAGUUAAUGUCCACAAGAGCUUGCAGAUUGAAGGAAAGACUGCUGUUGAAUUUAGCCAUCAAAUCAUGUUGCCAUUUCGGAGGGACCCUUUGCUGCUCUCAAGGAUCAACUUAGUCCCUGAUCCUGAUCAGCCGGCAUCACUGCCUCUUAGUGAAAAAAGUGUACUCAUUGUUAGCGUGAAGAACUCUGCUGAGGUGCCAUUGCGCCUUCUAUCCAUGUCUCUUGAAGUAGAUAAUGAAGGCAUUGAAGGGUCAUGUUCCAUGCAACAUGAACAUGAAACCCUUCUAGAUCCUGCCCUUCUUGUGCCUGGAGAAAAGUUCAAAAAGGUUUUCACUGUCAUUUCUGAGGCUAAUUCUUCAAAACUCAGGUUAGGGACUGUGUGUGUAAGAUGGAGGAGGGAUUCUGUGAAUGAAGAGAAAUCUGGUUCUACAAUUGUUUCAGUUUUGACUACACAAACACUUCCUGAUGUAAAUGUGGAGUUACCACCUUUGGUUGUGAGUUUGGACUGUCCUCCAUAUGCCAUCCUUGGUGACCCCUUUACAUUCCUUGUCAAAAUUCAGAACCAAACACAAUUGCUUCAAGAGGUCAAAUUCUCAUUGGCAGAUGCACAAAGUUUUGUGUUAUCUGGGUCUCACAAUGACACGGUUUUUGUUCUCCCAAAAUCCGAGUAUAUUCUCAAUUACAAGCUUGUACCACUUGCCUCAGGUAUCCAACAGUUGCCUAGAUUUACUUUGACCUCAGAAAGAUACUCAGCUGGGUUUCAACCCUCAGUUACUGCAUCUACUAUAUAUGUGUUCCCCUCCAAGCCCCAUUUCAAGGUGGCUGAUGUGGAAGACAAGAGGAAGGAAUCCAUUGUGGCUGAAUGAAUCCCUGCCCUCUUACAUUUGAAGAAACCAGUGAUUACUGUGCUGAAGAGAUGUGAUGACAGGAUUUUCAAAGGGGGAGAGUCAGUUCGGUGAGCUUUGACUUCUGAAAACCAAGGCAUUUUGGGUUCUGAUCCUCUGCUUUGCACCCCACGGAGCACCAUAACCCCGUGAGAAGUUUGAAGAGCUCUGUGAAGAUCUGUGGGAGAAAUCUGUUAUAUCUGUGAAAGAAGUGCCCAAGUAUUCUUAUUUAUUGUCUCUUCGAAAUUUAGAGGCAUUAUUUUACAAAAUCAAAGCAUGACCAAGUUGGCUCAACAUGUUAAUAGCUUGAACACGUUUGAGUAAAGAGCCCAAUGAACUAGAAAGUAAAACAAACUAAUCGUUUCUGUGGAAAGGUUGACUUCAUAAUUUCUUGGGGGAUGGGUUUCAGUCCCCAAUUUAAUGCCCUGGUGAGCUGUUCUUAAUCUUCUAUGCUUUUGAGGAUGUGUCAGGAACUGGAGGAUGUCAACAUUUAGUUCUUUUUUAAGUCUGCUCUUUUUAUGGCCAGGAAAUUAAAUUUUGUAAUAAUAUGACUGGUUUGGACUGUCAUGGUUUGUAGUUGGCUAUAGUACAGCUAUUUUUCAUUUCACAUGAACUUCUAGGCUAUCCAAUUGAGCACUGCAGAUUGCAAGAUAUAUUUGGGUCCUAUCAGAUUUUCAUCUUGAUUAUUGCAAGGCUGUUCACUGCAGGGGUUUAAAGUAGUACAUAUCUCUCUGACCAGAUAGGAUCCAAGGGACAUGAUGGGGGAAGUGAGGAUGUUAUUGUUAGGAGAUCCCUUCUCCUUCCUUGGUUCACUCUCUCUCUCUACUCUCCAGAGUACAAAUAUUUAACUAUCUAAUAAGACCAAUUUUGAUUUUUUCACGGGUCAUACCCGUUAGGGUGCAGCCCAGUGGUUGAAGGUUUGAGAUGAGCUGUAGACCCAUGUAUCUUGAGUUCAAUUCCCCCAAGUUCUUCUGGAUUAUUUGAUACACAUUUUUGAUGAGUGGAGUCAUGUAUUCGUGGUUUAUUCCUUAGGGAUGGGUCCAAAGGACCUUGCCUUGUUGAGGUUGGACAUCAUAAAAACAAAAAAGUUCACGUCAUGCUGAGCAGCUUAAUGUCAUUGAUUUACAGAUUACAGGGCAUCUUGUUAACA